rnacentral:rRNA from 1 species
UACGAAGGGGGCUAGCGUUGCUCGGAAUUACUGGGCGUAAAGCGCACGUAGGCGGCCUUCUAAGUCGGGGGUGAAAUCCUGGAGCUCAACUCCAGAACUGCCUUCGAUACUGGAGAGCUCGAGUCCGGGAGAGGUGAGUGGAACUGCGAGUGUAGAGGUGAAAUUCGUAGAUAUUCGCAAGAACACCAGUGGCGAAGGCGGCUCACUGGCCCGGUACUGACGCUGAGGUGCGAAAGCGUGGGGAGCAAACAGGG